GGGUGAGUAACACGUAGGCAACCUGCCGACAGGAUGGGGACAACAUUCCGAAAGGAAUGCUAAUACCGAAUGAAGUGCAGGGGAGGCAUCUCCCCUGCAUGAAAGAUGGCCUCUAUAUAUAAGCUAUCACCUGUCGAUGGGCCUGCGUCUGAUUAGCUGGUUGGUGAGGUAACGGCUCACCAAGGCGACGAUCAGUAGCCGGUCUGAGAGGAUGAACGGCCACAUUGGGACUGAGACACGGCCCAGACUCC
rnacentral:rRNA from 1 species